rnacentral:rRNA from 1 species
CGGGGUGAGUAAUGUCUGGGAAACUGCCUGAUGGAGGGGGGUAACUACUGGAAACGGUAGCUAAUACCGCAUAACGUCGCAAGACCAAAGAGGGGGACCUUCGGGCCUCAUGCCAUCGGAUGUGCCCAGAUGGGAUUAGCUAGUAGGUGGGGUAACGGCUCACCUAGGCGACGAUCCCUAGCUGGUCUGAGAGGAUGACCAGCCACACUGGAACUGAGACACGGUCCAG